rnacentral:rRNA from 1 species
UACCAGCUCUCCGAGUGGUAGGGAUGAUUAUUGGGCUUAAAGCGUCCGUAGCCGGCUUAGCAAGUCUCCUGUUAAAUUCAGCGACCUAAUCGUUGAGCCGCGGGAGAUACUACUAGGCUAGGAGGCGGGAGAGGUCAACGGUACUUCCGGGGUAGGGGUGAAAUCCUAUAAUCCCGGGAGGACCACCAGUGGCGAAGGCUGUUGGCUAGAACGCGCUCGACGGUGAGGGACGAAAGCUGGGGGAGCGAACCGGAUUAGAUACCCGGGUAGUCCCAGCUGUAAACGAUGCGAGCUAGGUGUUGGGGUGGCUACGUGCCACUUCAGUGCCGCAGGGAAGCCAUUAAGCUCGCCGCCUGGGGAGUACGGCCGCAAGGCUGAAACUUAAGGAAUUGGCGGGGGAGCACCACAAGGCGUGAAGCUUGCGGUUC